GCAUUAAUGGGGUAGUGGUAACCUGGGUCGUUGCCAUUCAGUCGCGAGGAAGUUCUCGACCCGCCGGGGGUUCGAUUCCCUCUUAAUGCA
rnacentral:tRNA from 1 species